UACGUAGGGGGCUAGCGUUGUCCGGAAUCAUUGGGCGUAAAGCGCGUGUAGGCGGUCCGGUAAGUCCGCUGUGAAAGUCGGGGGGCUCAACCCUCGGAUGCCGGUGGAUACUGUCGGGCUUGAGUACGGAAGAGGCGAGUGGAAUUCCUGGUGUAGCGGUGAAAUGCGCAGAUAUCAGGAGGAACACCAAUUGCGAAGGCAGCUCGCUGGGACGUAACUGACGCUGAGACGCGAAAGCGUGGGGAGCAAACAGG
rnacentral:rRNA from 1 species